CUUUUGAUAUCAGGUUUGUUUAGCUCUAUAUAUAUAUAUAUAUCUUCCCUAUCUUUGCAUCUCCUUUGUGAGCUUCUGCUUUCUGGUUCUGUGAAGUUGGUUGAUUUGGUCUGUAAGGAGGAAGCUAGGUUGGCCUUCAAAAUAUCUGUAUAAUAGUGUGAUUCAUCUAUCAAGAAAUUUUUGUAUUUGCAACAAUCCAAGUCGGUACUGGACUAUGGGAAAUGAUGAAGAGGGAAAGUCUGCUAAAUCUGAGAAAAAUUAUCCGCCUGCAAACCCCGUUGCUAGAUGAAUGCUAAAGUGAUGGAGACUGUGCUCUUGGAUUGUAUUGUUUUUCUUGCAUGGAAGGAUUUUCAGGAUCCAGAUUUGUGAGAUUAAAAAUUACAAACCAAUUGAAGCUCCUGGUAAUUAAUUAUUAAAAUCUUUUGUACCUAUAUCAUGCAAUGAUAAAUGUGAUAUCAUAUGGCCACAUAAAAAGUGUAACACGGUGAAAUGAGAGCAAUUGAUAUAUAAACUUUAUAUUUGAUUAAUCAUCUGUAUAUAUUGUAUUGUACAGGACAGAAUGUGACUGUAGGUAUCCUUGUAAAAACGCGGCCUUCCAUGUUAAUGAAUAUUGAAUAUAUUAUAUAUAUGUAUGGAGGAUGCUUUUGCUAGAUAGACACACAUAAGUAUAUACAAUAAGGGAAAGAGGAAAGAAAAACUAUUGAUACGGAGGCCUCAAAUAGUAUUGCUACCAUUCUUUCUCUAGAAAAAAACCACUUUGUUCUAAUCUAUACAAAUGUACCACUUUACUUUAAUCUAUACAAUGUACAUUUUGUGCAAUGAAAUUAAUUUCUUAAGUUGCUUCUCUUUUUAAAUUAUAUUUUUACUAACACUUAUGUCUUGCAGAUGCAGAAUAGAUGUUGAACUUACUGAUUCAUCAGCCUGGCCAACAACUGUAUUUUGAGAAAUUUUAG